GGCGACGGAUGUCGUGAGGCCUCUGUCCGCUCAGCGGCCCUGGUGCACCUUCCCCGGCACCAGGUCCGCAGCGGGCGGGCGGGGACCUGACGGCAUCCGGACGACGGU
rfam:Amycolatopsis methanolica 239, complete genome.